rnacentral:rRNA from 1 species
UACGUAGGGGGCAAGCGUUGUCCGGAAUCAUUGGGCGUAAAGCGCGUGUAGGCGGCUCGGUAAGUCUGCUGUGAAAGUCCAGGGCUCAACCCUGGGAUGCCGGUGGAUACUGUCGAGCUCGAGUCCGGAAGAGGCGAGUGGAAUUCCUGGUGUAGCGGUGAAAUGCGCAGAUAUCAGGAGGAACACCAAUGGCGAAGGCAGCUCGCUGGGACGUGACUGACGCUGAGGAGCGAAAGCAUGGGGAGCGAACAGG